UCAAGGUGGCCCUGUCUGAAUUCAGGUAUGGCACCUGAACUAUUUUCUUCUAACAAAGAAAACUGACCACAGUUUCUGCAAGGUUGUGAAAGCAAUGAUUCUGCUACUACUGGCCAAAUGAAGAUACAUAAAGGAAAACACACACACAUAGAUCAAAUAAUGUUAUUCUCAAAAUUAAUAUAAUCACCCACAAUUGACAUUCCCUUGGCCAGUUACAAAUUGUAGUGGAUUCUAAUCAUCAUAUAUUCUCAGAGAUACACAAGCAUG
rnacentral:lncRNA from 1 species